CAUUAACUAAUCUGAGAUGAUGCUGCAUCAACUUAAAUCUUAUAGAAAUUGAACAAACAUCUGGACCAGAUUAAACAGACAUGGUUUCACCUGAAUCUUUCAGAACUCUCAGAGACUUAAAAAAUUUAUACUAUACCAUGUUUUAAAGGCAUGGCAAACCUUUAGACCGGUCAGUCUCCAAGAGCCCUUAGUAACACAGGUAAAAAACCUUUGUCCAUGAUGUCUGAUUCAGGCUAUAUACCACAAUUUAAAAUAACACAUAAUGUGAGACAUAGAAGACACAAGCAGUAGUUAUUACACUGGAUCAUUUAAAAGGAACCUGUUGCAAUAAAAAGGUUAGUUUACAGUGCAAAAUAAAGCAUGUGUUGGACCGCUGAAAAUGUAAAUGUUGCUCUGUUAUUUUCAAACAAAAAUUAUAUUUACAGUAUGGAUCCUUUGCAACAAACACACAGGGCAGGGAAGAUGUGCUGAUUGGUGUUUCUAUACAAUUAAUCCCAUACGGGGAAUUAACUUUCAAAUACUAAUGAAGUGACUUUUUGUCUCAGUUAUAAAAUAUACUGAGCUCAUCAUGCAAUCAAUGCAACACAUUUACACUAUCCCACUCUCAUAAUAAGUGUAGUGGGCUUAUAGUAUUUUUAAAGCAACAAUCAUUCCAGGCACACAGUUCCCAUGUGAAAUAACUUACAAUAAAACAGAGUAAUAAACUUAUACUUCUAUGCGACAGAAAGAAUAAAGCAAAAAGAUUUAAGUAGGUCUAUCAGGUACAACCUGUGAGUCAUUUCUUUUCUAAUAUACAGUACUGCUAUCUUGCAGAAAGAUAAGUCCUGCGCUCACUCCCAU